rnacentral:rRNA from 1 species
UACGGAGGGGGCUAGCGUUGUUCGGAAUUACUGGGCGUAAAGCGCACGUAGGCGGCUUUGCAAGUUAGAGGUGAAAGCCCGGGGCUCAACCCCGGAAUUGCCUUUAAAACUGCAUCGCUAGAAUUGUGGAGAGGUAAGUGGAAUUCCGAGUGUAGAGGUGAAAUUCGUAGAUAUUCGGAAGAACACCAGUGGCGAAGGCAGCUUACUAAACUGUAACUGACGCUGAGGCACGAAAGCGUGGGGAUCAAACAGG